CAGCCGUAAACUAUGCGCGUUAGGUGUAUCGGUGACCACGAGUUACCGAGGUGCCGAAGGGAAACCGUGAAACGUGCCGCCUGGGAAGUACGGUCGCAAGGCUGAAACUUAAAGGAAUUGGCCGGGGGAGCACCACAACAGGUGGAGCCUGCGGUUUAAUUGGACUCAACGCCGGGAAGCUCACCGGAUAGGACAGCAGAAUGAUUGCCGGGCUGAAGACCCUGCAUGACUAGCUGAGAGGAGGUGCAUGGCGUAGACGUCU
rnacentral:rRNA from 1 species